AUUUUCUUCACAAAUUGAUAAAAAAUAUACAAAAUUUAUCUGAACCAUAUACUACUUUUAAAUUAAUAAUCUAAUUUUUUUAAAAAAAAUUUAAUUUUAUUAUAAUUAAUUUUUUUAAUUUAUUUGAUUUGAGUCAGUUGACAAGUACAACGAUUUCAAAUUUUGAAUGUUUCGUCCGUCUUUACAGGUUUAUUAAUAUACUUCGUGUAAUUCUCGCAAUUAUAAAUUUUUUAAAGUAAAUAAUAUAUUAGCUUAAGUUUUAAAGUCAAAGUACUAUUAAAUGACUCAAAUCAAAUAAAUUAAAAGAUUUGAUAGUAGAAUUAAUAUUUUUAAGAUUAAGUAGUCGAUUCAAAAUGGUCCAUAGUUUAGAUAAGUUGUGUGCAAUUUUUAUUUAAAAAAUAUGAUGUUGUAUAUAGAUUGUUAAAUGAUUUGGUUGUAAUAUAAAAUGUAACGGUUAUGAUAUAUUUCUUCUACAUACUUCUUUGUUCUAAUUAUUCUGCUAAGUGAUUGUUUGAUUACACGUAGUUGUAACUGUCUUGAAUCAUAAUUGCAUGCGGAUUCAAAUUCAAUGUUUGAUUUGAUAUAUUUAAAUCCAACUGCUGCAGUUAGAAUUGUAUGAGGAGGCUCAACUGUAGAAGUUGGAAUUGCGAUCACAUUUGGUGCAGCUGUAAUUAUAGCACUUGAAGAUAGGGUAAGAGGCCAUUUGUUUCGGUGUAAGUGGAGAGGUGGAACUCAAGUUCCAUUACUUCCGGUAUUUAUUUUGGUGUAAGUAAAAAAUAUAGUAUAACUCAAGUUAUAUUAGACCCCCACUUCACCUACUCUCGACUUUCUCCUCUGAAGUGUCGAACUCGACUUUUGCCGCACUCAACCUUCUCCAAAAAAAUAUAUUAAAUAGUAAAAUAUAAACUCUACUUCCUUUAUAAUCACUUAGAAUUACAUUAUUUAUAAUAAAUUAGGAUUAUCUUUAAAUAAUAAUAAAAAUUUUAAUUAUUUAAUAGGUUAAAUUUUACAGGGAUAAGUUUACAACUAUAUGUAGGAGAUAAUGAGAUCCACUUACUUACAUCAAAAUAAAUAAUGGAACUAAAAAAACUAAUUUCACCAGCACCAAAUAACAUCAAAAUAUACAGAAGAAAUAAUUAAAUUAAUUUUCAGACUGUACGAGUUACAUUAAAACAAACAACGAAAAAUAAUUACACUUCAGGAAAACUCCAACACCACUGGACUUGAGUUACAUUGGAUCUACAGAUUCGUCAAUCCAAACGCCCCCUACAUCGAAACAAAAAAAAAAGCUUACUUCACUAAUCAUCUUUAAAAUAAAAAAUAUUUUAUAUCUUACCUUGUGAAUUGUCUCACCACCCUCUAUAUAUAUAUAAAAUAAUAAAAUUUAUAUACAAAUAAACAAAUUAUUUAUACCUGCAAAGCUUUAUUUUAUAUUUAACCAAACAAAAUGCAAAUAAAUAACUGUUGUAUUUUUAACCAUAGGCAUCUUCGACUAUGCUGU
rnacentral:lncRNA from 1 species